rnacentral:rRNA from 1 species
AAUAGAUACCCAGGUAGUCCACCCCGUAAACGUUGGGAACUAGUUGUGGGGUCCUUUCCACGGAUUCCGUGACGCAGCUAACGCAUUAAGUUCCCCGCCUGGGGAGUACGGCCGCAAGGCUAAAACUCAAAGGAAUUGACGGGGACCCGCACAAGCGGCGGAGCAUGCGGAUUAAUUCGAUGCAACGCGAAGAACCUUACCAAGGCUUGACAUACACCGGAAACGGCCAGAGAUGGUCGCCCCGCAAGGUCGGUGUACAGGUGGUGCAUGGUUGUCGUCAGCUCGUGUCGUGAGAUGUUGGGUUAAGUCCCGCAACGAGCGCAACCCUCGUUCUAUGUUGCCAGCACGUAAUGGUGGGAACUCAUGGGAUACUGCCGGGGUCAACUCGGAGGAAGGUGGGGAUGACGUCAAAUCAUCAUGCCCCUUAUGUCUUGGGCUUCACGCAUGCUACAAUGGCCGGUACAAAGGGCUGCAAUACCGUGAGGUGGAGCGAAUCCCAAAAAGCCGGUCCCAGUUCGGAUUGAGGUCUGCAACUCGACCUCA